UGGGGAAUAUUGCACAAUGGGCGCAAGCCUGAUGCAGCAACGCCGCGUGAACGAUGAAGGUCUUCGGAUCGUAAAGUUCUGUUGCAGGGGAAGAUAAUGACGGUACCCUGUGAGGAAGCCCCGGCUAACUACGUGCCAGCAGCCGCGGUAAUACGUAGGGGGCUAGCGUUAUCCGGAUUUACUGGGCGUAAAGGGUGCGUAGGUGGUCCUUCAAGUCGGUGGUUAAAGGCUACGGCUCAACCGUAGUAAGCCGCCGAAACUGGAGGACUUGAGUGCAGGAGAGGAAAGUGGAAUUCCCAGUGUAGCGGUGAAAUGCGUAGAUAUUAGGAGGAACACCAGUAGCGAAGGCGACUUUCUGGACUGCAACUGACACUGAGGCACGAAAGCGUGGGUAGCAAACAGG
rnacentral:rRNA from 1 species